CUAAACUCUCCAACAACUGCAAAUAAGGCAUUUGGAAAUCAAUGCCCCGGUACUAGAUUUUACUAUCCACAAGUCCAAGAAUCAAAGUUUUGAACGGCUAGAUAUGACCUUAUACUUCCAGCUAUUUAAGAUUGGCUUAGAGAGGCCAUCAUGUUCUUUCUGGAAGAAGGAUAUUUCUAGUCAUCAAGGCCACUGGUCUAGCGAAGGAUGCAAACUGGUUGAAUAUAACCGUAAGACAGGACGUGUGAAAUGCUCGUGCAAUCAUCUCACCAACUUUGCUGUCCUGAUGAGUCCAGCGACUACCAUUGACGUGAUCCACCACCAGGCUCUCAGUGCAAUAACAGUGGUUGGUUGCAGUUUGUCUCUCGGUGGUCUAUUUACAACUACUGUCAUUUACGUUUGUUUCUGGAGGAUGGUAAAGUCAAACAGAGCAAUCUUGCUGUUAAACCUGUGUGGAGCACUUUUCGUUGCGUAUCUAGCGUUCCUCAUUGGAAUUAAACGCACUCAACCGAUGGGCGCUUGUACAUUCACUGCGGUAUUGCUUCACUACCUGUAUCUCGUGGCCUUUUUCUUGAUGCUGGCUGAGGGAGGCGAUAUUGCGUUGAUGGUUAUGAAACCACUUGCCAAGUGGAAUAUUAUCCCUUACAUCUUGGCUUGAGCAUAUGCUGUUGGCUGACGGUGGAGUCAGGUCUGUUUUGGGCAUUUGCAGGACCAGUUCUUGCCAUAGUCAUGGACCGGUGUGCAGAGUGUGUGUAUUCUACUUCCCGUGCUGGGCCUCACCUGGGUGUUUGGUAUUUUGCAGUCAACAAGGACACGCUCAUCUUCAAGUACUUGUUCGCCAUCUUCAACAGUGUGCAGGGGUUCCUCAUCUUUUUGUUGCAGUGUGUGUUUGAUAAGAAAGUACGCGACGCUCUCCGACAGAUCAAGGUCCAAUGGUUCUCGACUUCAGACGUUCGUACCGGGGACACAAACAAAUCGGCAUCUCGCAAUCUAAUUGCGUCGACAUAGAAACAAAACAGUCAUCACAUUGUCGGAGUACAGGAAGACUGCAUUGAGAUGACUAUGUGCUUUUUUUAAAUCAUUUUAUUAUUGCGAACCUUAUUUUUAUUCAAGCAGUAUUAUAUGGAUGAUGUGUGUAGUAUUAAGGGUAAUAUAUAACGCGUUUGAAAUCUACAUUGCACGAUGACAGCGAUAGCAUUGUGUCUACAGGGCCGGAUUAAGCUGUUUUGGGGGCCCAAGGCAGCACAUAGUACGGGGGCCCCUCCCUUCUGGUCCCCUUCUGUAUAUUGAAAAUCAUACUUGAUAUUACAACUACAAAGAUCAGAAAACUUGGAUUUGUACACAGUUUACAGUUACACUUUAUAUAUAUAUAUAGCAAAACAAGUUUAAAAAUGUAUAAAUAUUUUAUUAACUGAACUUAACGCACAUGAUACAUGUAAAAGAUUCAAGCCUAUAAAUCUCUUCUACAACACCUCAGCAGGCUAAAGUCAUCGAUCAGCUGUGUGAAGUCUAGUUCUCGGAGGACUUGACAUUCAAUAGACAAUAGGCCUAAUGCUGUCAACAUUUCCUGACUCGUGGUGUUCCUCAGAUAGUUUUUUAGUUAUUAACUGGAAUUGUUAAGUAUAUUCGUACAGCGAUGGCAACGUUUUUAUGAAAGUUGUCUGCAGUUGACCUCCAUCUUACUUCAGCAGAUCAUUCAUGUGGGUGAUGGUUGUGUAUUGGUCCGCUUCUUAGAUGGCUUUGAACUGAACGAACUCAACAAAAGACGCCUCAGUGUCAUCUGGUUAAGACUUCACUAGACUUCGAGGAAUGGUAUGUGAACAAUAUUGUGCAUCUUAUAAACUUAGGGUAAAUUGAACUUGAAAACCGUGACACGGUUUCAACAACAUACGGAAGCCAGUAAUUGGCUCUGCUACAAUUGGAUAUACAUCAGAGGCACGAUAACAAGAAAAUGCAACGUUUAGCUACAUAUAUUAAGGGGCCCGCCACUGGUGCAUCCAGAUAGCAUAGUCAAUCAAAGCGAACUUAACGGUCCAGAUGUUGUCAUGACCAUACGAGAAAGUCGUAUAAUAAACAUAGAAACUAAUGGUUCUGAAUGGACAUACAACACAGACAGAACAUUUAUAGCACUGUAAAUCAAAGCGAACGACACAAUUACCAUUGGAUAUACAUCGGGAAACUGGUAAAAUUACAUACAAAAAUUCUACUGCAAUCCCGAUGGAGUCGUCAAAUGGCGUAAUAAAUAAAGAUCAUAAAUUGGAAAACUGGCCUGCCAUUGGGGGCCCAAUGCAGAAACCUUGUCAGCCUAGUGCUUCAUCCGGCAAUGUGUGUCUACAUAGAAACAAAGCAACCAUCAAUAAAUGUAUGACAGCAGAAAAAAAUUCAAGUCGUAAUAGAGAUGUUUUAAUACGCUUUUAUAUAAUAAUUGUGCAUCAUUUGCAACUGCAUGGACAUCUGCAUUUUAAGGCUUAUCAUUAUAUAAUUUGGCUUUCAAAUUGAUUGAUAAAUUAUUUCGUAGGACGAUCGAUAUGACAGCAAACGCUGUAUGCACAUUUGUAUAAUAACAAUCAUAACACAUUUGUCCUGUUAAUGCUGCGAUGAAUUUGCAAACCUGUCUUCCAGUAGAUUAUUACUUCAGGUGUGUAUCUUGAAAAAAAAGUUGAUUUUUCAUACAUCGGAUAUGUGUUAACACCAGUCAUUGGAAAGUUAAUGACUACAUGUGUAUAUAAUGUAUUUGAUCUUUUAUUAUUCCUUUUAAAUCACAUAAAAUAUAAUGUAUUUUAAUUUGACGUAUUUACCUUUAAUAUUGUCUGAUAUAGUUUUUGUAUGAAUAGUAUUGUUCUUUGCA